rnacentral:rRNA from 1 species
UACGUAGGGUCCGAGCGUUGUCCGGAAUUACUGGGCGUAAAGAGCUCGUAGGCGGUUUGUCGCGUCUGCUGUGAAAACUGGAGGCUCAACCUCCAGCCUGCAGUGGGUACGGGCAGACUAGAGUUCGGUAGGGGAGACUGGAAUUCCUGGUGUAGCGGUGAAAUGCGCAGAUAUCAGGAGGAACACCGGUGGCGAAGGCGGGUCUCUGGGCCGAUACUGACGCUGAGGAGCGAAAGCGUGGGGAGCGAACAGG